ensembl:lncRNA
CACACACACACACAGCCAUGCCUCCAAGAGCUCUGUUUUCUGACAUACACAUCUAUUUAAGCUCCUUUCGUCUUGGGUACUUUCACUGCAAUAAUGUCUCCCCUUCUGCCCAGGUGCAGUCAGUUGUCUGCUUCCUGGCAGGCCGACAGCAGGUGGGGCUGAAAGCAGGGUGAGCCAGGGGCAGGGUGGGAGCAGGAAACAGGGCCCUCUGUUUUAAGCACUUGCUUCAGCUAUUCCAUGGGACCCGUCCUAUUAGGACUGAAAACAAAGCCCUCCUGGUGUGCCAGGGUACGCUCCCAAGGACCACUGGGGCCCAACUCAUGGCAGUGAGACCGAACCCUGCCAGCCUGACUGGCUGCUCUGGAGAAGAGUGGCUUUUUCUUGGGGUCAAGUCAUGUAGGUGCCUGACGCGGUGGGUGCUACCAGAGGCAGUGUGGAAAGGAAGCUGUGACUUACAGAGGACUCCUCGCCUCCGAGGCCUCUCUGUUGUCUCUGCAAUGCCUCAGAGGCCUCUCCAUCACCUGCAAGGGCCUCUGGGUCCCUACCCAGGUGGCUUCUCGCUGGCUUGGCUCUAUUUUUAGAUACUUGCAGUAGGCCAGACUAUCUCCUGUUCUGAACAUCCUCCCCAGCCACAGCAGAACUCACAGCAACUCAGGCCACGUCCAUAUUUUCUCCCAGAAAUGACCACAGAGGUCACAGCGCAGGGUGAAAGGUCAAAUGCUCGGCUGCCUCUUGGAGGGUGCGGGUCCUAAACUGUGGUGAUGGUUUGCUCUUUUUUCUUUUAAUAAUUUUAUUUAUUUUUGUCUGUGCUGGGUCUUCAUUGCUGCAAAUGCUUUACUCUAGUUGCAGGAGAGCAGGGGCUACUCUUGGUUGCAGUUCAGGGGCUUCUCAUUGCGGUGGAUUCUUUUGUUGGCAGAGCAUGGGCUCUAGGGGACGAGGGUUUCAGAAGUCACAGCACAUGGGCUCCGUAGUUGCAGCUCCUGGGCUCUAGAGCACUGAUUCAGUAGUUGUGGCACCAGGGCUUAGUUGCUCCGAGGCCUGUGGGAUCUUUCCAGAUCAGGGAUGGAACCCAUUGUAGCUUGAGCGGCUGUUCUAAGCCAGAUAUGUUUCUAUGCACCAGGGAUCCAGCAUUGAACAGGCCAGGCUGGGUCAUGAAG